CUCGGAGACACGUGUCUCUCUAGGAGGAUCACUAUACCGCAUUGUUUCUCCAUGGCUCUCAUGUACUCUUUUGAGACCUUAGUGUGCUGUUUCUAGAUCAACAAUUUAUGAUAUUUAUUGAGCACCUGCAAUGUGUCCAGCUUUGUGCUUGGUGAUGUGAAGGCAAGAGAUAAACACAAAGAGAGUUUUUGCCUCCGAAAUGACAAGCAGAGAACCACAAGGCAAUGUUGAGAUGCAGAGGGUGGCAGUUUCCCUCCUAGCAGAGUGACUCACUCAUGCCUCCACUCCAGGGUGCAGGGCUUAGAUUCAUGACAGAUGACAGCCCCUAAACCUCAGAAAUGUGUGGGGAGAAUUUGAAUGAAAGAUGACUCUACUCAGGCUAUAGUCUGAGGAACAGAAUUUAACAGGAGACAAUGGAAUUCUUACUUUGAUCCUCACUUAUGUGGAAACAUGAGGAUUUUGGAGAGUUUCUU
rnacentral:lncRNA from 10 species